rnacentral:rRNA from 1 species
UGGGGAAUAUUGGACAAUGGGCGCAAGCCUGAUCCAGCAAUGCCGCGUGGGUGAAGACGGCCUGCGGGUUGUAAAGCCCUUUAGGCGGGGAGGAACGGCGUCGUGCGAACAGUGCGGCGUUCUGACGUUACCCGCGGAAUAAGCACCGGCUAACUCCGUGCCAGCAGCCGCGGUAAUACGGAGGGUGCGAGCGUUAAUCGGAAUUACUGGGCGUAAAGCGUGCGUAGGCGGUUUGGUCAGUCAGCCGUGAAAGCCCCGGGCUUAACCUGGGAAUGGCGGUUGAGACGGCUGGACUUGAGUGGGCUAGAGGAUCGUGGAAUUCCGGGUGUAGCGGUGAAAUGCGUAGAGAUCCGGAGGAACACCGAUGGCGAAGGCAGCGGUCUGGGGCCACACUGACGCUGAGGCACGACAGCGUGGGGAGCAAACAGG